GAGUAUUAACUUUUUUUUUUUUUUCAAUUUUUGCCCUUUAUCUCUACUAAAUACAAUAAAUAUUUAUACAAAGAGUAGUUAGGUGAGAUAAAAGGUAAUUUAGUCAAUUACUAGUAUGUUUUAAAAAUGAGGUUAUUCAAUCAUUUCCUUAAUCACUGUGCAAAACCCAAAUCUGACAGAUAAAAAUGGACGGAGGGAGUAUUUAAUAAUCUACAUAACUUUUUCUAAUUAAUAAUUUGUAUUUUAAAGAGCUAAUAAUUCUAUAAAAUCUUUAAAUUCUAUUUAUUUAAGAUAUAAUAUACAAAAAUUUAUUAAAUAUUAUUAUAAAAAAACAUAUAUUUUAUAUUUAUAUGAACGAGUUCGGAUAAUGGAUACUCAAUAUGUAAAAUCAAAACCUGUUCUAAACCCGAUUAUAUGCUAUCUAAACUUGUCCUAUUAGGGAUUAGUCGGAUCGGUAUCCGCAAAUACCUGACCUAUUGCCAUAGUAUACAAAAAUUUGGAAAUUUAUGAAUAGUUGGGCUUGAUGGACGUAUCAAGAGUUUUAGUUAUAUUAUUCUGGUUUGAUGAGACCUGUCUGACCUGCAUAUCUAGACCAGCAGAUUUUCUUGUUGCAGUUGGGUUGGGUGGUUGGAGAGUUGUUCCUGUUGUAGAAUGACAUCUGACGUAAUGUUUGCUGAUUAAAUUACAAUGUACAGUGGAAUACUAUAUCCAUUUCUCCAGGAAUACUAGAAAUAAAAUUCGUGGAUGUAGAAUUAGUUCAUCCAUUUUAUUCUGCAAGUGGUUUAUUUAUUUAUUUUUUAUUGUUUGGGGGGGGGGAGACCGGAAGGAACAUGAACAUUCUUGGAUCUACAAAGUCUUUAUAAAGUUUCUUAUUUGCAAAUUGUAUACUUGAUCUAGCUUUUGUCUUGCUAAUUAAUGAAGAAUUUAAGAGGUAAAUACUGUGAGUUUAGCUUACAGCAAGAUUUUGGUUGUAAUAUUUGUGAUAUUGCAGUUGACAAGAAUCAUCUCUAUCCAUCUGCUCCUCCUUUAACUCGCUAUACGGAGACUGUUAUUUCAGUAAUUAAGAAAAGGCUGCUUGAGUGUGCACCAUUGGAUGACGAUGUGAAUUAUAAGUUGAAUGAGCUAACAAUACCAAAACUCUGCAUAAGGUUGAAUACUCUUCAAUAUAUUCAGAAACAGAUUGGCAUGCUGGAAGAUGGUAUUAGAAAAUCUUGGGCCCUGGUCAAGCCAUCUCAUAACCCUAGAUGGAGUUGUCAAAUUUCUGUGUCAAGAGAAAGAGAUGAUACAAAUUAUGUUGUCCGGUGUUGAAUUGGAGGAAGAGGUGUUUCUCUAAUAUAGAAAAUGCACGAUACAACAAUGUUCUAAUCUUGGCUUAGGUGAUGAAGGGAUAUGUUGGUGUUGCGGUUGGUAGAUCCAAGAAUUAAUGUUCACCAAUAAUAUUUCUCUCUAAAAUGUGAAAUUAUCUAUGAAAGAAACAGUUGUUGAUGGCAACUGCUCUCCUAGCUGAAAAGUUUUUAUCUGCCAUUUGGGUACCUAAAUGAAAAUCCCAAAUAUCUAAAUUCUAAAGUUCAUAUUUUUUUUUCCUCUGAAGCACUAGAUCUUCUUUGUGAGUCCCAUCCAGCUCCUCUCCCAUAGGACAUAAGGACUACAUUAAAAUCAAUCUUCUUCUCCACUCUUUCUUUGUCUGUUGGUGACAAUGGUGAAGCAUGAUGUCGGUCUUCUAAAUUCCUCUCUAUUCUUUGGGAACCUGUCCCCUUUAUUAUUUCAUUUAGUGUAUUGGUGGACCUCUAAAAACUUUUUUUUAAACUAGACAGAUCUUUGUCCCCAGAGAAAUUAAGGUAGAAGUGUAGUUGUGAACUGCUUUGUGUGUUUCUACAUUUAUAUGUGUGUGCUUGUCUUAUGGAUAACAUCUAUUUAAUCCAGCAAAAGAUGAGCCCCUGGAAGAGACUAGUUUGCUAACAUGCAGUGAAGCUAUCGACGCACUAUUUGCAACCACUUUUAGCAUCAUCAAGGAUACUGCAACAGGUGCUAUCAACAAAAUUUGUGCCUUCACUGGAGCCAGAGUUGUGUUUUGGGAUUUGAGAGACAGAUUCUUGUUUCAUUUAUAUCGUGGAGAUGUUGCAAGUUCUCGUUUGGAAAGUUAUCUUCCUCAUGUUGAUACUGUAAGUUAUUAAAGUACACUUGCACACACUAUUUUUCCUCUCUCAAAGUUUUCUUUCUCAAGUUGAUACCAGGAAAUAUUAAAUUAAGUAUGUGCUUGCACUUGUGUCAAUGGACUCAUGAAAAUUUUGUAACAAGUUUGUGAGUUUCUGCACAAGGGAAUUUUUUAGUUGACAUCUUGAUACCGAAGGCGAUUGAGGUAUUCUCACCCAGAGAAAACUUCUCAUGUUGAUAGUCUAAGAUAUUAAAUUAAAUUACACAUGAUUUAUUUAUACAUGCUCAUGUCAAUGAAACUCUUGUGACAAUUUUGUAGCAAAGUUGGUGACUUUCUGUAUUUAUUUUCUUAACCUAUGAGGCACUGAUGCAGGUCCUUGAUCUCAUAUGUGGAUUGAUUGAUGAUUCACUCAGAGACCUUGUGGUGUUAAGCAUCUUUCGGGCAUUGUUGGAAGCCUACGUUUGGGUGUUGUUGGAUGGAGGUCCUUCUCGUGCAUUUUCUGACUCAGAUGUUUCUGUGAUGGAAGAUGACUUCAAUAUGUUGAAGGAUUUCUUUAUAGCUGGUGGAGAAGGUCUUCCUCGCUCAUUAGUUGAGCAAGAAGCAAAAUUCAGUCAACAGAUACUUGGCUUAUUUUCCCUGCAGACUGAAACAGUUAUUAAAAUGUUGAUGAAUGCAAGUGAACAUAUCUCAGUGGGAUUGGAUUCUAAUAAACAUGCUCAUAUGUUGGAAGAUGCCCACACUUUAGUACGAGUCUUAUGCCACAAGAAAGACAGGGAGGCUUCCAAGUUCCUAAAACGGCAAUAUCAGCUUCCCAUGUCUUCAGGUGAUAUUUCCAUUACAAUGCCAUAGAAUCAAGCAGAAUGUUUGCUGUCAAUUAAUGUACUAUAUUAUUGAUUAUUCCAUUUCAUUUUGGUUAACUGGUUAUGAUAACAUGCAUUGUGUGGUCUAGUGCAGUGAUGCCAUGUCUUCCCCCACUAGUUGACUCAUAACUUCUUGCACUUUUAAUAAAGUUUUGGUCCUGGUUGCUUCCUUGUGGAUGUGGGGAUAUAAUUCUUAGUAUGGUGGGGCUGGCAAGAUGAAAGCAGCUUACUUGUUGGAAAAGAAAGGACUGCUGUUCAUCAUUUCUGCUUAUCUGUUGAUAAUCUGACAAAAUUUCUGUUUUGGUUAUGAAAACUCUGGCUCUUUUGCCAGCAGCCUAGUAUAUUUACUAUCUUGUGAAUUUAAUAAUUUAUUGUUUUGUGUGAUGGCAUUUUAAGCUUCUUGAAUCAUAAGCAGCACAUAUGAGAUAUCAUAUGUAAGGUUUUGAGAUUCUGGUCUUCUUUUUUAUGGCAGAGUACGAUGACACUCCAGAUCGGGAUUCAACUUUGAGAUCACCUCUUAUAUCAGAUCUCCUUAAGCGAAGUUACUCGACUAAUUGGACCAACAAGGGCCACAGCAGUUUCAAAUCAAUAAAGAAGAAACUUCAAGAAGCAACAUCUGAGAUCAGGAAUGUGGCUCGGUAAUAAUGUUGCAGCAUGGGCAAUGCAUCUUGAAUUCUCAUGUUGACUUUGAAAGAAAACAUAGGAAUUUGCUCUAGCAGCAGAAAUAGUGAGUCGAACAGCAUUCUCAGUAAGCUAAUUUUUCUCUUGUAAAUGCAAAUUCAUGAUUCAAGUACAAUCCUGUACGUGUACCUUAAUGUAUUUAUAGAUAAGAUAGAUAAAAUUAGUGAUAGUUCAAGGCUAGCUGGUAGUUCUAGCGACGAGAAUAUGUUUUAGCAGCGACUUUCUCGCAUUCUUUAUCAAAAAUUCAGCUGUGGGAUUGUGUGCACAAAAAUCUUCAAAAAUAUGUGCACAUGAGAAUGGCUGUAAUGAAUUGGUUUCUUUCUAGUUUUUGCAUCUCUUUGAUUCUCUAUGUAGGGUCCACUCCACUCCACAUUCUGUUGGCCUGUGAGUAUGCAGCAUCAGAUGCCAUAGUAGUUCACGCGCCAGUUAUUUUUCAGAAAAAGUGGGAGACACUUUUCUUUCUUCCUUAGGUGGAAUGCGUUAAUGAUGGGCUUAGGCCUGCGGUGCUGCUUAAUCAAUCACAAGCUUGCUCUUGUUUCUUCAGGAAGUGAUAUGGAUUUUGAGGAAACCAGUAAGACAAGGGUGGAGCCAAUUAUUGAACUUGGUUGGCUGUAAUUAGCUGUAAUUUUUCCUUAAGAGUUUAAUCAUGGUCGUAGUUAGCCCAUCACAAUCGACACCAAACUUCUGAGUUCGGACGGCAGGUUGGUACCUUUUUCCAAGACACUCAAUAAGGACAUGAGGCUUCCAUCAAGAUUUGGAAAGUGUCGAUGAAAGUCAGUUUUUCACACAAGGGAGAGGAAGAAGAGGUUUGAAAAUGGAAGUAAGCAUGGGACCGUUGUCUUAUCAUUUAAUUUUAAUUUAUUUGGUUGUCGAUCAUAAUUGAGAAUGAAUGGAAAGACAUUAUUCAUUUGGGUGGUGGAUGAUUCAUCAGUCUUGAGCUAAUGUUGUGACUUUAUGGCUGCCGUGUCGUGUGUAAAGGGAUGUAGAAGUCAUUACGUCUGAACUCCGAAGGGUCACUUCUAAGGACUCUGGUCUCUGUUUUCAUUUAGGGUUAGUCUUUCAUUCUUUCAAAGAAUAUAGAUAUUCUAAAUUGAUUCCCAAUUGGUUUUAUA
rnacentral:misc_RNA from 1 species